rnacentral:rRNA from 1 species
AGGAUGAACGCUGGCGGCGUGCCUAACACAUGCAAGUCGAACGUCCUGUCUCGCAAGAGGCAGGGAGUGGCGGACGGGUGAGUACCACGUGGGUCAUCUACCGUGAGGUGAGGAAUACCGGCGAGAAAUCGCCGACAAGACCGCAUAGGCUCGAUGCAAGUCGAGCAAAGCUCUUUCGAGAGAGGGAGCGCCACACGAGGAGCCUGCGCCCGAUUAGCUAGCUGGUGGAGUAACGGUUCACCAGGGCGACGAUCGGUAGCUGGUCUGAGAGGACGAUCAGCCACACUGGGAUUGAGAACGGCCCAGACUCCUACGGGGGGCAGCAGUGAGGAAUUUCGUCAAUGGGGGCAACCCUGAACGAGCAACGCCGCGUGCAGGAGAAGGUUUUCGGAUCGUAAACUGCUUUUCUCGGGGAAGAGAACGGACGGUACCCGAGGAAUCAGCCCCGGCUAACUACGUGCCAGCAGCCGCGGU